UACAGAGGGUGCGAGCGUUGUUCGGAAUUACUGGGCGUAAAGCGCACGUAGGCGGCUUUGCAAGUUAGAGGUGAAAGCCCGGGGCUCAACCCCGGAAUUGCCUUUAAAACUGCAUCGCUAGAAUUGUGGAGAGGUAAGUGGAAUUCCGAGUGUAGAGGUGAAAUUCGUAGAUAUUCGGAAGAACACCAGUGGCGAAGGCGACUUACUGGACACAUAUUGACGCUGAGGUGCGAAAGCGUGGGGAGCAAACAGG
rnacentral:rRNA from 1 species